rnacentral:lncRNA from 1 species
UCAACACUCAUGUUUUAAUUGUUCAUCAAGCUCAACUUCUUCUCCUUUUGUUGCAGGGAGAUAUUCGUGGAGUAUCCAUCUCCCAUUAUUCUGUGAAUGGAUUAGGCUCCUAAUUUUCCUUGGAAGAUCUCACUUUACCUAUCCUGCCAGAUCAAAACUUUCCAUAAUUCUGGAUUGAAGUUAGAGCGAGCCGUUUGUUAAAUCAUCAGAUCCACACUGGAAGACAUGUAACUGCCCGGAUGUAGUCACUUCCCUUUGCAGCAAGCUUCCUCUUCAGGGUCUGAAAGAAUCCUGGUGAUCUCACUUUGUAGCAAGCGCUUCCUGGACACCCCCAGUGAUUUGACAUUGGUGCUCCCUAUGCCUGACACAAACCCAGGGAAUGCUCCUAUGAUUGAUGCUCUUUUCACUCCGCCUGAGAACUAGAGACAAGGGGAAGCUCAUGGAUCAAAAUCCAAAUUCUCUCAUGUGGUUGAAGAGCACACUGAGCACCUUUGCUUUACAGUCUUUCUUCUAUUGUCUGGUAUGAAAUCUCAGCCAAGGCCUUUCAGCCUGUGGUGAUGAUCAAAAUAACUUUGCCUUCCAUUUGCAUUGUUUUAAAGAAAUGAUUAAACAAUCAAGCCCAGGUAAUCCUUGGACAAUGUUAUAUAAUACAAAAAGU